CCACAGGCAGAGGUUACCCAACACACAAAUUUACAAUCUAGUUUGAGCCGAAGGAGAGAGAAGAAGAGUUUACCCAGCACACAGAUUUAGACAGAGGGAGGGAAGAAGAGGCUACUCAGGACACAAAUUUAGAAUGUAGUUAGAGCAGAAGGAGAGAAGAAGAGUUUACCCAGGGCACAGAUUUAGAAUGUAGUUAGAGCAGAGGGAGAGAAGAAGAGGUUACCCAGCACACAGAUUUAGAAUGUAGUUACAACAGAGGGAGAGAAGAAGAGUUUACCCAGCACACAGAUUUAGAAUGUAGUUACAACAGAGGGAGAGAAGAAAGAGGCUACUCAAGACACAGAUUUAGAAUGUAGUUGGACCAGAGGGAGAGAAGAGAUCAAGACACGGAAGGAGAAGCGACCGUCGGCCGGUCAAGGCGGCGACCGGAUGGCUGCCAACUCGUUCUCGGCGCCGGCGCAGGCGGUGAAGGGCGCGGCGAAAACGUUGGCUCACCGCCGCCAGGCCGUGGUUGGGUUCCUGUUUGCUCUCAUCGUCAUCCUCGUGCUCCACACCACCGUGGUGUUUGGCCCGUCCCGGCCCGCGAAUGACAUUGUCGUUCUGCAGUCCACAUCGGGCGAGCAAAAUGCCAGGGCCUCUUCUCCUCCAGCGUUGUUGGCACCUAACAAUUCUAUUCAAGAUAACGGGCAGAAGGACGAUGUAGCCAAGAAUGAUAGGGAAACAAGGGGCCAGUUAGGCCAAACAGGAAAAAAUGAUGCUAGUGACGACAAGACGCAGGAAGAGCUCAUUCGCCAAGAACUCGAUCGAGACGUCAAACGUGGUGCUCCGCGCAAGCCCAUCUGCGACCUCUCUGAUCCUAGGUACGACAUCUGCGAGAUCACCGGAGACGCCCGUGCCAUCGGCGCCAACCGUACCGUCCUCUAUGUCCCGCCAGCCGACGAGCGCGGCACCGACGGCCCGGAGUGGGCCAUCAAGGACCAGUCCCGCAAGCAACUGGGGGACAUCAAGGAGGUGAAUGUCAAGACCCUGAGCGCCGCCCAGUCCUUGGUGGCACCGGAGUGCACCUCUCGGCACACUGUCCCGGCCGUCGUGUUCGCCAUGAAUGGGAUCAUAGGCAACCCAUGGCACGACUUGAGCGAUCUCCUGAUCCCGCUCUUCAUCACCACCCGCGCCUAAGACGGCGAGGUCCAGUUCCUUGUCACCGAGCUCCAGCCGUGGUUCGUGGACAAGUAUCGUCUCGUCCUCACCAACCUGUCACGCUACGACAUCAUCGACUUCAACAAGGACGCUGGCGUCCGUUGCUACCCGCACAUCAUAGUCGGCCUCCGCAGCCACGGCGACCUCGACAUCGACCCAGCCCGCACGCCGCGCAACUACACAUUGCUGGACUUCCGCCUGUACGUCCGGGACGUCUUCCUGCUCCCGUCGGACGACCGAGGAAUCCCGUACAAGGAGGCCAGCAAGAAGAACGCAGCCGGCAACGACAAUGGCACUGCUGUCACGGAGAAUCCAAAGCCGCGGCUCUUGCUCAUCAAUCGCGGCGAGAGCAGGAAGUUCGUCAACCUUCCGGAGGUCUCCGCGGCGGUGGAGGCAGCCGGGUUCGAGCUGCUGGUCAUGGAGCCGAGCCGUGACAUGGGGAUGGAGGAGUUCGCCCGGGCGGUGGACUCAUGCGACGUGCUGAUGGGCGUGCACGGGGCCGCGCUCACAAACUUCUUCUUCUUGCGCACCAACGCGGUGCUGCUGCAGGUGGUGGGGCUGGGCCUGGAGCGCGAGGCCUUGCAUUACUACGGCAAUCAGGCCACGGCGGUGAUGGUGCAGCACAUCCAGUACUUCAUCAGUGCCGAGGAGAGCACGCUCUACGAAAAGUACGGCAAGGACCACCCGGCGGUUAGUGACCCGGACUCGGUGCACAAGCAGGGGUGGCAGGGUGCAAAGCGCUACUUCUGGGCGGAGCAAGACAUCAGACUCAACGUCACCAGAUUUGCUCCCACGCUGCAUCAGCUAAUCCGGACGCUCCAGGAGUAGGGAAACUAGAUACGUGAUACUACUACCUCUGUUCCUAAAUUUUUUGAGAAUGACAAAUAACUCAAAAUUUUACUGCAAGUACUUGAAAUGUUUGGAUAAUUGAGUUAAAUUGUUUUAUUUAUGGUCUUUGUUCUAUGUUUAGAAAUGGAAAGGAAUUGCAAA